rnacentral:rRNA from 1 species
UGGGGAAUAUUGGACAAUGGGGGCAACCCUGAUCCAGCGAUGCCGCGUGUGUGAAGAAGGCCUGAGGGUUGUAAAGCACUUUAGAUGUUGAAGAAGUUGUUGGGUUGAAUAUACCAAACAAUUGACGGUAAACAGCGAAUAAGCACCGGCUAACUCUGUGCCAGCAGCCGCGGUAAUACAGAGGUCUCAAGCGUUGUUCGGAAUCACUGGGCGUAAAGGGUGCGCAGGCUGCGCGGGCAGUCAAUUGUGGAAUUCAAGGGCUCAACCCUUGGGCUGCACUUGAUACUUCCGCGCUAGAGCCCUGGAGAGGAGUCUGGAAUUCUCGGUGUAGCAGUGAAAUGCGUAGAUAUCGAGAGGAACGCCAACGGCGAAAGCAAGACUCUGGACAGGUGCUGACGCUCAUGCACGAAGGCCAGGGGAGCAAACGGGAUUAGAUACCCAUGUAGUCCCUGAGCGGGCUGGCAAGGCGCAU